rnacentral:rRNA from 1 species
UGAACGCUGGCGGCGUGCCUAAUACAUGCAAGUCGAGCGAACAGAUGAGGAGCUUGCUCCUCUGACGUUAGCGGCGGACGGGUGAGUAACACGUGGAUAACCUACCUAUAAGACUGGGAUAACUUCGGGAAACCGGAGCUAAUACCGGAUAAUAUAUUGAACCGCAUGGUUCAAUAGUGAAAGACGGUUUUGCUGUCACUUAUAGAUGGAUCCGCGCCGCAUUAGCUAGUUGGUAAGGUAACGGCUUACCAAGGCAACGAUGCGUAGCCGACCUGAGAGGGUGAUCGGCCACAUUGGAACUGAGACACGGUCCAGACUCCUACGGGAGGCAGCAGUAGGGAAUCUUCCGCAAUGGGCGAAAGCCUGACGGAGCAACGCCGCGUGAGUGAUGAAGGUCUUCGGAUCGUAAAACUCUGUUAUUAGGGAAGAACAAAUGUGUAAGUAACUAUGCACGUCUUGACGGUACCUAAUCAGAAAGCCACGGCUAACUACGUG